CCUACGGGAGGCAGCAGGGAGGAAUAUUGGUCAAUGGUCGGGAGACUGAACCAGCCAAGCCGCGUGAGGGAGGAAGGUACAGAGUAUCGUAAACCUCUUUUGUCAGGGAACAAAGACUGGGACGCGUCCCCGGAUGAGUGUACCUGAAGAAAAAGCAUCGGCUAACUCCGGGCCAGCAGCCGCGGUAAUACGGAGGAUGCGAGCGUUAGCCGGAUUUAUUGGGGUUAAUGGGUGCGCAGGCGGUCUGUUAAGUCAGCGGGCAAAGGCCGGGGCUCAACCCCGGCCCGCCGUUGAAACUGGCAGUCUCGAGUUGGAGAGAAGUAUGCGGAAUGCGCGGUGUAGCGGUGAAAUGCAUAGAUAUCGCGCAGAACUCCGAUUGCGAAGGCAGCAUGCCGGCUCCACACUGACGCUGAGGCACGAAAGCGUGGGUAUCGAACAGGAUUAGAUACCCUAGUAGUC
rnacentral:rRNA from 1 species